AGGCUUCAAGACACCCGGGUUUUAUUUUUAGUGCUGUGAACCUGUUCCAGCUUGCUGCAGUCAUUACUACUAAGACCAUCUAAAUAGCAACUCAAGAAUGCUAUUAAAGCAAUGAUGAAGAGGAGAGGAUGCAUUUGAGUACAAAAGGGCAAAACCCAUCCUGAAUUUAAACACAGUUUACAUAAUCCUGUGAGCAAGAAGGGGAGUUGAUACAGCCAGCUUGGUGGUACCUUACAGAAGGGACAGCUUCAUCUGUGGGUAGAGACCAGGCAAAGGAGAUUCAUCAGCUCAUAGACAAGAGAGAAACAAAAGGAAGAUACAGAAGAGAAGUUGGAGAAGAAAGGAAAGACAGAGGAAAAAAUAGUGGAGAAAAUCAGAACAGAGUUGGCUUUUCUAAAAGGAGUUGUCCAGGAAGCAAAAUGAGCAGUUUCCCUCCUUUUUUUCUGUUUUUAGCCCAUCCCAGAUACUGCAAUUCUGAGAUAAGUGGGUCAGGCAAAAGGGCAUAAUUAGUAGUGAUUUCACAGUUGCUGUGGGUGCAGGAGAGCAUAGUGGGAAGAAUGGAUUCAAGGAAAUGUUGGCAGGCUCUCAGCGGAAAGCUCCCAGCUGAGCCCCAGGGUGCCAUGCCCAUCCUCUGCCGUAAGAUUUGGGCUGUGCCAGCCAGGUGGGAGCUGGAUCAGAGUGGGAAUGGAGCAGAUGGAUGCUCCACUGGAUGCUCUAGUGGAUGAAGGGCAGCACAUCUUAAGUACACUGAAUUUAGUAUGGGACAGGAUGCAUCUGUGAGAGCAGCUGGGGAAAGGAUGGAUCAAUGCUUUGAAAAGCAUUGUGGGGAAACAAAGAGCUAAGUACCCUGACCAGGGGGCAUAAUGGGACAUAAUUUUUUUUCUGUCAGAUACUGAGUUUAUUACUAAGGAACAUAUCUUGUUUCCCACAUGCACCUCCAGUUUCUGUUACCUUGCAGUGCUUUGUUUCCUCUGGUUGGUGAUCACGUAGCAUCAGGGAGGCCUGUGUGGGAUGUGCUGCACAUGGUCCAAGGACAGCAUUCUGUGCAUUUCUGCUGGGAGAUUUAACUUGAUUUUAACAG